rnacentral:rRNA from 1 species
CAGUCGCCACGGUAAUACGGAGGGAGCUAGCGUUGUUCGGAAUUACUGGGCGUAAAGCGCGCGUAGGCGGUUACUCAAGUCAGAGGUGAAAGCCCGGGGCUCAACCCCGGAACUGCCUUUGAAACUAGGUGACUAGAAUCUUGGAGAGGUCAGUGGAAUUCCGAGUGUAGAGGUGAAAUUCGUUGAUAUUCGGAAGAACACCAGUGGCGAAGGCGACUGACUGGACAAGUAUUGACGCUGAGGUGCGAAAGCGUGGGGAGCAAACAGGAUUAGAGACCCCCGUAGUCCCUGUCUCUUAUAA